AGUAAAGUUUUAUCCUUGCUUAUUUUCUCAUUUUCAGAUCAAGGGUACAUGUAAAGUCUGGUUGGACUAAGUGUUAGAUCGAUUAAAUAUUGUCUCUAAUCAUACAAAUGGAGGGGAGCCCAUUAAUAAUUAAAGUCUCAGUACCUGGUGCUAAUAAUAAGCGCGAGUUAGAAUUGGUGAUUUUGAUAAAUAUCCGGCUAAAAUUUGUGCCAGCAGCCGCGGUUAUACUGAGGGGUAAAAUGAGAAAUUGUCGGUUAAAAACAGUUAAAGAAAGCUUUAAAUUUAAUAGAACUGUACCAACAAAGGGUGAAAUCAGCUUCUUGGUUAGCAGUUCAUUUAUUUUAAAAGGUGAGAUUAAAGCUGUUAAGAUCAAGUUAUGAACCAGGAUUAGAUACCCUGUUACUCUUCAUUUUAAAAAAAAAUACCUGGGUACUAAACAGUUAUUAUCUUGAAACUCAAAGGAUUUGGCGGUAAUCUAGUCUAUUUAGAGGAACCUGUUCUGUAAUCGAUAAACCACGCAAAAUCUUGCCUUACUUUGUAGACCAGUUUGUAUACCGUCAUUAACAGGCAACCUUAAUAAAGUUAAGUUGCUGUAAUAAUUUCUUUAUUAGUAUAUUAGAUCAAGGUGCAACCUAUAGUAAGGAAGAAAUGGGUUACAAUAAAACAUCUUUAAACGGAUUAAAAGAGUAAGCAGUUUUAUGAAGGCGGAUUUAACAGUAGAAAGAUUUUAAUACGUUCUUUCGACUUUAGCUCUAGAUUAUGUACACAUCGCCCGUCGCUCUCGUUAACUAAAGCGAGAUAAGUCGUAACAUAGUAGGUGUACUGGAAAGUGCACCUAGAAAAUU
rnacentral:ncRNA from 1 species